GCCGGGAUGGUCUAGUGGUUAUGACGUCUGCCUUACACGCAGAAGAUCGCCAGUUCAAUCCUCGCUCCUGGUA
rfam:Perkinsus marinus ATCC 50983 gcontig_1104296698666, whole genome shotgun sequence.